rnacentral:rRNA from 1 species
UACGAAGGGGGCUAGCGUUGCUCGGAAUCACUGGGCGUAAAGGGUGCGUAGGCGGGUCUUUAAGUCAGGGGUGAAAUCCUGGAGCUCAACUCCAGAACUGCCUUUGAUACUGAGGAGCUUGAGUCCGGGAGAGGUGAGUGGAACUGCGAGUGUAGAGGUGAAAUUCGUAGAUAUUCGCAAGAACACCAGUGGCGAAGGCGGCUCACUGGCCCGGUACUGACGCUGAGGUGCGAAAGCGUGGGGAGCGAACGGG